UCUUCUAUUCCUCAUCGCUGCUUCCCUCCUCUGUUGGGCGUCUUCCUGCUCCCUUCAGCCCUCGCCUCCCAAAAACAGACAAGACCUGACAGCAGGUCCUAAAGGCUGUCACAAACCUUUAUGAGGCUCUGGACAACUGUGAUGGUAUUCUAAGCAGGUAGCGCUUUUUAUGCAGCAAUCAAUUUACAGAGCAGAUGCUCUCUUGUUGACAACUCUCAUAAGAGUCGAUAAGUUUGUAGGUGUAACCCAAUGUAUCUUCAGCAGUUCUAAAGGACUGAACAUGUUACUAGAAAGAGGUGAAUGAAAGGACUACAGAGAGUUGUGAAAGAGGAAGUGGUGCGGGCUGGUGGAGUACCAGAC